GGAGCCACUGGCGGCAGCUGACAGCAUCAUCACUGAGGGGAGAGAGACUUUUUGUUUCAAGUGGACUGAAACGCAAAACACGCACAGGAAGGGAGGCUAGGUGGACGACGGAAUGCGGUAUCAUGUCCAGCUGCUGACUUGUAGUAGGAGGCGGCGUACCACUCGCAGCUCAACGUCCGCUUCAGACCUCUAAGCGCCUCCCAUUGCUCAUUCCUCCACCCACCUUGAGCGCUGCCUGGUGUUGCGGCUGCUGAGGUGCUGGCUGGAAUGACCCUGGAGAGCAGGAAGCAUAAGAAGAUGCGUUCAGGCGGGCUGGCGCCUAGUUGGACAGCCUGAUCCUUUAACCGCCUUCUGCUGGACAGCACAGCGCUGACCUACGUGGCGCAUACGUGCCCAUGUAGGAGGGCAUGGCUGUAGAGAGCCAAGAUUGACCACACUGGACCAAAGGACAGAGAGAGACGCACAGGUUCCCACAUUGCAGAAUUGUGUGGGAGAGCAUUUAUGGGUGAUCCCUGUUGACGAAGAAAUCUUCAGUCAACACUCAAACACUGUGAAUGAUUUUGAAAAAGAGUGUGGCCUUUGCAGUGCAAACCCGUCCCAUGCUGCUCCCUCCUCUCAGGGGAUGGCCGAGGUCCAGGAUGGACACAUAUACGCC